rnacentral:lncRNA from 1 species
GACUCCAAUGAUCGUCUUCCUUUUCCGAUGGCUGAUUCAACAGCCACACUAUGAAUUCCUUGAACGAUGUAUGAUUUUUUGAACGGGACACUCAACAGCUUGGCAAUUUGGAAAAUAAUACAAAAAAAUGUAUAAAAAAAUAUAACUUCCCUCGACAUAUUCUCACAAUGAUUUUCUUACCUUUUGUGAGAAUCGAAGAUACGCUGCAAUCCAUUACCUUCUGAUCCGUUAGAACGAAACAAUUCUGGUCUCGUGACACGAAAUAUUCGAGGCACAUAAAUCCAGGCUUGUGCUGUAAAACGUGAGUUAUCCUCUAUUCUGUCUCUGUAAGAAUAAUCAUUAUUUUGAAAAUGAGUUUUAUAUUUUUUGUUUCAGGAAUCAAAAAUUACGAUCAUUCAUUAAAAAAAAAAGUGAAAACUGAUAAAUUUGAAAAAACAUUGUGAGAAAUUGUUUGAAAAUUGAUUCAGUUUUCUCAUACGAUUUUUACCUGUACGAUGAAACAAGUCUCUGAAAAGGAUGUCGAACCACCAAGAACUUGAACGCUCUCGUAUUGUUUAUAAUUCUUUUCAAUUCGUCUAUACUCUUUGGUGCCAAAUAAUCGAUUUCCCUUGAAAAAUUGAUUAAUACAAUUGCAAGAAAAUAUAUUGAGAGUUGUAGGAUGAAAUUCAGACGCUUUUUACCUAUAAUAAUUUCGGACUACUUUUCGACCUCUCAAUUCACUAAAAAAUUUGGUAAAACUCGUUGAAGCUACUUUUCGUAUCCAACAGUAGAGAGCUUCGUGUUUGGGACUGUAGAAAAAGUGUUUUUUUCUCAAGCUUUCUGUCAAGUUGUAUUUAUCACAAAUGUCGAAAACUCUUCGAAACUUUUGUUGCAAUUUCUGGACAGAAAAUAAAUGAGUCGAUGAGAAAUUUGGAAUAACCAAUUUUUUUUUUCAUUUUUAAGCAUUCAAAUGCGAAACUCGAAAAUGUAAAUAACAAUUUGUAAAACUUCACCUCCGUUGUAACAAGACCUCCAACCUCUAAGUUCUCAAAUUCUACGAUCGAUUGUUCUUCAAAAUAGAAAAAACUUUCAGAAAUCGAGCUGUCAAAUUCCAGCGUUUCUGAAUUAUCAUUUAUUUCAAGCAACACCGUUUGAUCACCAUUUUUAUAAUUUAUAAAAAAAAAAAGUACGAGAUAAAAAGCCAAAAUAUGAAUGACAACGAUGAGAAAAUAUUUAACGAGUUUCGAUGUCGGAUACAUACUCGUAGAAACUGAGAAAUGGUUUUUCUGUCUCUUCCAGGGAGACAAAAGGAAGAUUAGAUGCUUCCGGUGGAGAGCUUCGAUUGCGGGGGUGAGUGAGGGAGAUAAGGAAAUUAUCAAGAAGCAACAUGUGUUACGAUCGAGCAUUAUUUAUUUCGGUUUAUACCAAAGGGUAUGGAUUUAAACAAUUUGCAAAUUACGUCGCACACAUACCAACCAAAAAUAGCAUUGAUUUCAGAUAGUCGUAAGGUACGUGUGUUUUCAUAAAUCAGCUCAUGAACGGAUAAUUAGUACGUAAAAUUAAACUGACCGAAAAUGCGAGCGAAAUUUAUUACGACUGUUUAUGGUAUUUUUUCCUUUCAAAUUUUGGGAUUAUUUUUAUUGAUCUAAAUCCGAGAAUGCUUACCAUUCGGGAGGACUACAUAUGGAUUCUCUCUCUCUCUCUCUCUCUCUCUCUCUCUCUCACUCUCACUCUCCGUUACAUGUCAAAUUUCCGUAAUUUUACGUUCGAUCGUUCAUGUACGUAAAAAAGUAGUACUUAUGUACCAAGUCGUGUUGCAAUAUCGCGUCCAUGAAAAAUAUCCAAGUUCACGUGUUUUUCUUCGGUAUUAUUUUUAACUGUACUUAUCUACGGAUAAAAAGUGCGUACAAAUAUAAAAUGGAUGGGAAUUGUAGGCUUUCUCCGUAUUUCCAUAAUAGGCGAAAUUAGCAAAUGGUGGCAACAAAAAAUCAAUUAAUUUCAUCCGGCGUUUUGCUCACCUCGAAAGAAAAGAGUAUUUUGCAUUUUUUAUGUUCGAGAUCAAUAUUACGAUGAGUUUACAAAAAUUAAACUUAUUUGUGAACGAAAUAAUUGUGCUCCUAGAUACACGAAUGCACGCGACGCGUGAGAAAAUGAAUAAAUUAACAAGUUCGACGAUCGA